GACGAACGCUGGCGGCGUGCCUAAUACAUGCAAGUAGAACGCUGAAGAGAGGAGCUUGCUCUUCUUGGAUGAGUUGCGAACGGGUGAGUAACGCGUAGGUAACCUGCCUUGUAGCGGGGGAUAACUAUUGGAAACGAUAGCUAAUACCGCAUAACAAUGGAUGACACAUGUCAUUUAUUUGAAAGGGGCAAUUGCUCCACUACAAGAUGGACCUGCGUUGUAUUAGCUAGUAGGUGAGGUAACGGCUCACCUAGGCGACGAUACAUAGCCGACCUGAGAGGGUGAUCGGCCACACUGGGACUGAGACACGGCCCAGACUCCUACGGGAGGCAGCAGUAGGGAAUCGUCGGCAAUGGGGGCAACCCUGACCGAGCAACGCCGCGUGAGUGAAGAAGGUUUUCGGAUCGUAAAGCUCUGUUGUAAGUCAAGAACGAGUGUGAGAGUGGAAAGUUCACACUGUGACGGUAGCUUACCAGAAAGGGACGGCUAACUACGUG
rnacentral:rRNA from 1 species